GGUGUUGACGUUUGGGUCCUGCGCAACGGGACCCCGUGAACCUUGUCAGGUCCGGAAGGAAGCAGCAAUAAGCGGGUUUUCUCGUGUGCCGCAGGAGUGCCUGAA
rnacentral:SRP_RNA from 1 species